AAGUUGCCUAGACACUGUUCUAGGCACUGUGGAGGUAGCCACAACAGAGCAAGCCUCCCGCCUGGUGGAACUGACAUCUCCAAGGAGACAGAGAGUAAAGCUCAGAACACAUUGGGAACCAAUCAGCACAUGGAGAAAAACAUCACACAAGGAAGAAGGUGAGGACAUAGCAAGAAGGUGGCCAUCAGCAAGCCAGGCAGCAAGUCCUUACCAGGAACCAAAUUGGCUAGUACCUUGGACUUCCAGCCUCCAGAACUGUGAGAAGUAAAUAGCCACCCAGACUACGGUAUUUUAUUAUAACAGCCUGAACUGGCUAUGACAACAGGUUUCUGUAGGACCGGCAUGGCCUCUUUCUCCAGGCCAACCUUUGUCCCCACCCAUCCACCUCUGACACUCUGAUCACAGUAGCAUCAUUGUGUUUCUGCAAACUCCCUCUCCUGGGUUUUGAUAAACAUUGUUUCCUCUGCGAUAGACAAAAUGAUGGCCCUCAAAAAUGUCUAUGUCACAAUCCCCCAAACCCAUGAAUAUGUUACUUGAUAUGAAAAAGGGACCUGGCAAGUGUUAUUAAGUUAAGGAUCCUGAGGUGGGAAGGUUAGCUUGGAAUAAGCAGGUGGGCCCAGAGUGAUCACAAGAGUCCAUACAAGGAAGGGAGGAGGUUCAGAGUCAGAGGGAAAGAGAGGUGACCACAAAGUAAAGCUUAGAGUGAUGGCAUUGCCGGAAGAGGGCCAGGAGCCAAGGCAUGUGGCAAUGGGCUCUAGAAUCUGGAAAAGGCACUUCUGCCUAGAGCCUUCAAAAGGAGUGAAGCCAUUCCAUUUUAGACUUCCGAACUCCAGAGCUGUAAGAUAAAAAAUGGUGUUUAUUUAUGUCACUGUGGUCAUUUGUUACAGCAGCAAUAAGAAACUAAUAGUGUCUUCCCACUUCCCUCUUAUCGAACCUUCAGAUGUUGAUUCUAAUAACCCUUCCUCAGAGAGGGGAGUAUCACUUCCUUAAGCACUUUGACCACAAACUCAAAGAAAUGCUCCUGUUACAUUUUCACAGCACCCCAUGCUUUUCCUGCAUAACACUAAGCACUUUUGGCUUAUUUGAUUACCAGCUGUGUAAUCCCCCAGAUUCCAGCUUCUGUUUUUUUCUCGCCAUUAUAUGCCCAGCAUCUCACACAGUAAUAUUGCAAACAUUCAAUAAAUAGUUGUUUAAAGAAUAAAUGAAUGAAGUAAUAAAUUAAUAUAGGAUGUGAAAAUGAUUUCAUGGCUCUAAAAGAGACACAUGAAUAUUAUUGCUAUAAUUAAUAUUCAGCUGCUUAGACCUCCAAAUAAAAAUCAAUGCUGUAUAUAAAAGGCAUCAUAAUUAUCUAUGAAGCAUUAUUCCUAUAUUAAAAAAUAUUAUAAACAGCUACUAGUUAAUAAGAAACUAGAGGCUCAUUUCUAUCUCAUUUUCAUCCUUCUGUCUAUUUUUAAAAAAUUUUAUUGGAGGGUAGUUGAUUUACAAUGUUUUGUUAGUUUCAGGUGUACAGCAAAGUGAUUCAUAUUACAUACCCAUUCUUUUUCAGUUUCUUUGCACAUAUAGGUUAUUAUAGAAUAUUGAGUAGACCUCCCUGUGCUAUAUAGCAAGUCCUUGUUGGUUAUCUAUUUUAUAUAUAGUAGUGUGUAUAAAUUAACCCCAAACUCCUAAUUUAUCCCCCCUCCUUUCCCCUUUGAUAACCAUAACUUUGAUUUUGAAAUCUGUGUGCUGAGCAAUAUUCUAUAAUGUAUGUGUUUAUUAAGUCAUGUCUUUCUCUUGUUUCUGCCAGAUCACAUAUAUGAAAACUACCUUAAAAAGGAAAUUGGGGAGUUCCCGUCGUGG
rnacentral:lncRNA from 1 species